rnacentral:rRNA from 1 species
CUGUACCUACGGGACGCAGCAGUGGGGAAUAUUGCACAAUGGGGGAAACCCUGAUGCAGCAACGCCGCGUGAGUGAAGAAGGUUUUCGGAUUGUAAAGCUCUGUUAGCAGGGAAGAGGAAGGACGGUACCUGCAGAGGAAGCCACGGCUAACUACGUGCCAGCAGCCGCGGUAAUACGUAGGUGGCAAGCGUUGUUCGGAAUAACUGGGCGUAAAGGAUGCGUAGGCGGUUAAACAAGUUAUAUGUUAAAUAUAUAGGUGUAACC